UACGUAGGGUGCGAGCGUUAAUCGGAAUUACUGGGCGUAAAGCGUGCGCAGGCGGCUUUGCAAGACAGAGGUGAAAUCCCCGGGCUCAACCUGGGAACUGCCUUUGUGACUGCAAGGCUAGAGUACGGCAGAGGGGGAUGGAAUUCCGCGUGUAGCAGUGAAAUGCGUAGAGAUGCGGAGGAACACCGAUGGCGAAGGCAAUCCCCUGGGCCUGUACUGACGCUCAUGCACGAAAGAGUGGGGAGCAAACAGG
rnacentral:rRNA from 1 species